rnacentral:rRNA from 1 species
AGUGAACGCUGGCGGUAGGCCUAACACAUGCAAGUCGAACGGCAGCACAGUAAGAGCUUGCUCUUACGGGUGGCGAGUGGCGGACGGGUGAGGAAUACAUCGGAAUCUACUUUUUCGUGGGGGAUAACGUAGGGAAACUUACGCUAAUACCGCAUACGACCUGCGGGUGAAAGUAGGGGAUCUUCGGACCUUGCGCGAUUGAAUGAGCCGAUGUCGGAUUAGCUAGUUGGCGGGGUAAAGGCCCACCAAGGCGACGAUCCGUAGCUGGUCUGAGAGGAUGAUCAGCCACACUGGAACUGAGACACGGUCCAGACUCCUACGGGAGGCAGCAGUGGGGAAUAUUGGACAAUGGGCGCAAGCCUGAUCCAGCCAUACCGCGUGGGUGAAGAAGGCCUUCGGGUUGUAAAGCCCUUUUGUUGGGAAAGAAAAGCAGCAGGUUAAUACCCCGCUGUUCUGACGGUACCCAAAGAAUAAGCACCGGCUAACUUCGUG